rnacentral:rRNA from 1 species
UACGAAGGGGGCUAGCGUUGUUCGGAAUUACUGGGCGUAAAGCGCACGUAGGCGGAUAUUUAAGUCAGGGGUGAAAUCCCAGAGCUCAACUCUGGAACUGCCUUUGAUACUGGGUAUCUUGAGUAUGGAAGAGGUAAGUGGAAUUGCGAGUGUAGAGGUGAAAUUCGUAGAUAUUAGGAAGAACACCAGUGGCGAAGGCGGCUCACUGGUCCGGUACUGACGCUGAGGUGCGAAAGCGUGGGGAGCAAACAGG